UACGUAGGGUGCGAGCGUUGUCCGGAAUUAUUGGGCGUAAAGGGCUCGUAGGCGGUCUGUCGCGUCGGUAGUGAAAACUCAGGGCUUAACCCUGAGCCUGCUUCCGAUACGGGCAGACUAGAGGUAUGCAGGGGAGAAUGGAAUUCCUGGUGUAGCGGUGAAAUGCGCAGAUAUCAGGAGGAACACCAGUGACGAAGGCGGUUCUCUGGGCAUUACCUGACGCUGAGGAGCGAAAGUGUGGGGAGCGAACAGG
rnacentral:rRNA from 1 species